rnacentral:misc_RNA from 1 species
GGGGUUAGGUGGUGGAGCUUUUGCGAGAGCGGUGCUCGCGGAGGCUAAGUCUAUCAAGAUCGGACCACCUCCGCCUCCAUCUGGCGGGCUACCUGGGACACUGAACUCCGAUGAGGCAAGAGACUUCGACCUUCCAUUGAAGGAACGAUUCUACUUGCAGCCACUGCCACCAGCCGAAGCUGCGGAGAGGGUAAAGGCCUCCGCUAAGGAGAUCCUGAACGUUAAGGAACUCAUCGACAAGAAAGCGUGGCCAUACGUCCAGAACGACCUCCGACUGAAGUCCUCCUACCUCCGCUUCGAUCUCAACAGCAUCAUUGCUGCCAAACCAAAGGAAGAGAAGAAGACCCUGAAGGAGCUCACCGGAAAGCUUUUUGCCACAAUUGAUGAACUGGAUCAUGCUGCGAAGAUAAAGAGCCUCGAGGAUGCUGAGAAAUCUUACGAGGCUACCAAAUCUUCCCUAAGCGAUGUCAUCGCCAAGCUAGGAUAGAGCUCGAUUAAUUUGAUCUCCUACAUGUGUUCUCUACUCUCAAAAUUCUCUAUUUUCCGUUUAUAUGUAAAAUUGUAUGCAAUCUGCAAUUAAAUAAUUGUAUUUUGAAGAAUUUGUUGCCUUGUACUUCAGCUGAUCUAUUAUUUCG